AUGGAUGUUGUGGAAACUUUACUGCUGUGGAUUUUAUCUGGAUGUUUAUUGUUUAAUGAAACUCAUGCGCAAAUUGGGAUAAAUGGUUGUCCGAGUAGCUGGGUGCUGUUUGAAUCUCAUUGUUAUGGCUUCAUCACUGAUAACCCCAAAAUCUUGGAAGAGGCCGACUCUUCUUGUUGGACAAAAGGUGCCCGACUUCUAACAGUGAACUCAGAAUCCGAACACCAGAUGAUAUCACGUUACCUUACCG